AGAAAGUCUUCUGAAUGUGUCCGUGAGGAGCCCAUCCUGGCUUUCAGGGGGGGAUUCUGGGUACCCCAGGCACCCCUGUGUUGUGCUGUCCUGCAAGAUGUUUCUCAGGCUGGUAACCAAUUUUGGCUGAUGACAGCUUUGGCCUCUGAUUAUGGAAGUAGUCAUAGACCACAAAAUGACAUUUCAGUCAAUGGUAGACCACAUACAUGAUGUUGGUCUCAUGAGAUGAUAGAGGAGCUGGAAGAUUCUCACCGCUGAGUGACAUCAUAACCCUCAGGACGUUGCGGCACAAUGUGUCGCCCGCAUAUUUGUGGCAGUGUCAGUACAAACAAGUCUGUACGCGGCCCCUCAAGUGAAACCCAGCACCUCCACUGUGAUACCUGCCUGUGCCCGUUCUCCUGGUAAGAAAACCUACCACUGGAAGCAGUGUGCUGUGGCGGGUCAGCAGCAGCCUCGAAUAUCUCACACUUCCCACAUAUCCG